rnacentral:rRNA from 1 species
AUUGAACGCUGGCGGCAUGCUUUACACAUGCAAGUCGAACGGUAACAGGCCUUCGGGUGCUGACGAGUGGCGAACGGGUGAGUAAUGCAUCGGAACGUACCCAGAGGUGGGGGAUAACGCAGCGAAAGCUGUGCUAAUACCGCAUGUGAUCUGAGGAUGAAAGCGGGGGACCGAGCAGCAAUGUUUGGCCUCGCGCCUUUGGAGCGGCCGAUGUCGGAUUAGCUAGUUGGUGGGGUAAAGGCCUACCAAGGCGACGAUCCGUAGCUGGUCUGAGAGGACGACCAGCCACACUGGGACUGAGACAAGGCCCAGACUCCUACGGGAGGCAGCAGUGGGGAAUUUUGGACAAUGGGCGCAAGCCUGAUCCAGCAAUGCCGCGUGCGGGAAGAAGGCCUUCGGGUUGUAAACCGCUUUUGGCAGGAACGAAACGGUGUCCGCUAAUACCGGGCGCUAAUGACGGUACCUGCAGAAUAAGCACCGGCUAACUACGUG